UGAUGAUGAUGAUGGUGGUAAUGAUGGUGAUGAUGAUGGUGGUGAUGAUGACAAUUGCUAAAAUUUCAUGGCAAUCGGUAUUGAACUGAUGGUAAGCAGAUGCUCUCGUGUAAUUCAUCAUCGUCGUCGUCAUCAUCAAAGUCAUCAAAAUCAUUGUCAUCAUCAUCAUCAUCGUCAUCAUCAUCACCAUCGUCGUAU
rnacentral:pre_miRNA from 1 species